rnacentral:rRNA from 1 species
AACGAACGCUGGCGGCAGGCCUAACACAUGCAAGUCGAGCGAGGACUUCGGUCCUAGCGGCGGACGGGUGAGUAACGCGUGGGAACGUGCCCUUUGCUUCGGAAUAGCCCGGGGAAACUGGGAGUAAUACCGGAUGAGCCCUUUGGGGGAAAGAUUUAUCGGCGAAGGAUCGGCCCGCGUUGGAUUAGGUAGUUGGUGGGGUAAUGGCCUACCAAGCCGACGAUCCAUAGCUGGUUUGAGAGGAUGAUCAGCCACACUGGGACUGAGACACGGCCCAGACUCCUACGGGAGGCAGCAGUGGGGAAUCUUAGACAAUGGGGGAAACCCUGAUCUAGCCAUGCCGCGUGAGCGAUGAAGGCCUUAGGGUUGUAAAGCUCUUUCAGCUGGGAAGAUAAUGACGGUACCAGCAGAAGAAGCCCCGGCUAACUCCGUG